rnacentral:lncRNA from 10 species
AAGUUCCUGAUGGGUGCGUUUUACAAACCUCUUGUGAAACAGGAAAGUUUCCCAAGUCCCCACUCGACCCAGGAAGUUCAGCUGGCUUCACGUCUCAACAGGAAGCCCUUCAUGUAUCAGCCCACUGCCUCCAAGUUUCUGUUUUUAAAGCUUUUCUUGCCACUUAGCACACACAUACAAGCACUUAGUCAGCUCUACAUGCAAUACUAGAAACGACGGAUGAAAGGAUGACGACACCAUGGCUACUGUCUUCAAAAAGUUCAUUGUGACAUAUAGGGAAACAUGUAUGUACUCAUUUGUUGGGGAAAAAAAUAGUAACUCUGGUGAUGAGAUGCAGAAGCACUGACUGUGACCUCAGCAAAAGUCUGAGAGGGUGCAAUGGAGACCUCGCCAAAGACAGACAAAGUUUGCAACCAAAGCCCUGCCCUGAGUACUCCCCUUCUUUCUUGAGCCCUCCACUGAAAAAUGAAGAUGCAGCCCCAUUAAAUAGAGCAAAUGUGUGGUGGGAGAAUAAAAGUAAGUAACUUGGAACAUAGAAAAUCGAACAUCUGGUGAAUAAUGUUAAAGCAAACUAAAUAUGGCCUAAGAAGGACUCCAUACAUCUAUAUUUGAGUCCUUGUGGAGGAACUGCAACCUAACUUAGUAGGUAGACAAGACUGAAAACCUAACUUAGGAGUAUCCACCUGUAACAAUUGCUGAGUCUUGGCCAAUCCUAGAAGCCAUACUUCAACCACUCACGGUCUGCUAAGUGUUCAAACUGUGUUCAAAGAAGGCAAAUGCUGACCUGUAACCAAUCCAGCUGUUUCUGUAACACACUGCUGAUUUCUGUACGUCACUUCCCCUUUUUUGUCUAUAAAUUUGUUCUGAGCAUGAGGCACCCCUGGAAUCUCUCCGUAUCUGCUGUAAUCCUGGGGGCUGCCCGAUUCAUUGCUCAUUUUUUC